rnacentral:rRNA from 1 species
UACGUAGGGUGCGAGCGUUGUCCGGAUUUAUUGGGCGUAAAGAGCUCGUAGGCGGUUCAGUAAGUCGGGUGUGAAAACUUUGGGCUUAACCCAAAGCGUGCAUCUGAUACUGCUGUGACUUGAGUUCGGUAGGGGAGUGGGGAAUUCCUAGUGUAGCGGUGAAAUGCGCAGAUAUUAGGAGGAACACCGGUGGUGUAGACGGCUUUCUGGACCGUAACUGACGCUGAGACACGAAAGCGUGGGUAGCAAACAGG